rnacentral:rRNA from 1 species
CAGUCGCCGCGGUAAUACGAAGGGGGCCAGCGUUGUUCGGAUUUACUGGGCGUAAAGCGCACGUAGGCGGAUCGAUCAGUCAUGGGUGAAAUCCCAGAGCUCAACUCUGGAACUGCCUUUGAUACUGUCGAUCUGGAGUAUGGAAGAGGUGAGUGGAAUUCCGAGUGUAGAGGUGAAAUUCGUAGAUAUUCGGAGGAACACCAGUGGCGAAGGCGGCUCACUGGUCCAUUACUGACGCUGAGGUGCGAAAGCGUGGGGAGCAAACAGGAUUAGAUACCCCGGUAGUCCCUGUCUCUUAUAC